rnacentral:rRNA from 1 species
UGGGGAAUUGUUCGCAAUGGGCGCAAGCCUGACGACGCAACGCCGCGUGGAGGAUGAAGACCUUCGGGUCGUAAACUCCUUUCGACCGAGAUGAAUUUCCGCCGACCUAACACGUUGGCGGGGUGACAGUAUCGAGGGAAGCAGCCCCGGCUAACUCCGUGCCAGCAGCCGCGGUAAUACGGGGGGGGCAAGCGUUGUUCGGAAUUACUGGGCGUAAAGGGUUCGUAGGUGGCCCGCUAAGUCACACGUGAAAUCCCUCAGCUCAACUGGGGAACUGCGUGUGAGACUGGCAGGCUUGAGUGCAGGAGAGGAACGCGGAAUUCCAGGUGUAGCGGUGAAAUGCGUAGAUAUCUGGAGGAACACCGGUGGCGAAGGCGGCGUUCUGGACUGCAUCUGACACUGCAGAACGAAAGCCAGGGGAGCAAACGGGAUUAGAUACCCCGGUAGUCCUGGCCCUAAACGAUGAAUGCUUGGUGUGACGGGUAUCGAUCCCUGUCGUG